CGGACCAUUCAUGGAGAUGGCUCCCCCCAGGGUGGCUGCUGCUUCCCAGGAGAGAGUUAUCAGGGCUGAAUCAUGGAGAAGAUAAGAACACUGCUCCACUCGUUUUAACAGCUCAUGUAGAUGCUCCUGAAUCUCUGCUGCUCCCCAAGAAAGAAGCUGAAGCGGGCCUCCCUGCAGGGGUAGUUUGAGAAAUCUGACUGAAGAACCACAGACUAGAGAUGGAAUUCCUGGUGCGUUGUGCCUAGAGGAACAGCCCCUGUUAGGAUCCUUUUGCUGGUUAAGAUCUGAACUUCCCCAUGCCCACAGGCAUGUGUGAAGGAACCUCCUCCACCCUCCUCCCAAAAAUAUCUCAAGACCAUCAAUACAGGAACUGCACUAGA